rnacentral:rRNA from 1 species
UACGGAGGGUGCAAGCGUUGUCCGGAAUCACUGGGCGUAAAGCGCGCGCAGGCGGCAGUCUAAGUCCUCUGUGAAAUCACCAGGCUCAACUGGGUGGCUGCGGAGGAGACUGGGCAGCUUGAGGGGCCUAGAGGCCGGUGGAACUCCCGGUGUAGUGGUGAAAUGCGUAGAGAUCGGGAAGAACACCAGUGGCGAAGGCGGCCGGCUGGGGGCGCCCUGACGCUGAGGCGCGAGAGCGUGGGGAGCAAACCGG